UUUGAUGGCGACCGGCGCACGGGUGAGUAACACGUAUCCAACCUGCCGAUGACUCGGGGAUAGCCUUUCGAAAGAAAGAUUAAUACCCGAUGGCAUAGUUCUUCCGCAUGGUGGAACUAUUAAAGAAUUUCGGUCAUCGAUGGGGAUGCGUUCCAUUAGGUUGUUGGCGGGGUAACGGCCCACCAAGCCCUCGAUGGAUAGGGGUUCUGAGAGGAAGGUCCCCCACAUUGGAACUGAGACACGGUCCAAACUCCUACGGGAGGCAGCAUG
rnacentral:rRNA from 1 species